GACAGAACAUGUGUAAAUAAAUCAACGCAAACUAUGGAUAUACCAGCAUAUGCAUCUUUGACGACCAGUCAGUGAAACAUAAGAAAAUAGACCUUUUUGACUUCACUCUUGUCUACUAGCUGGGAAUAUUGUCAAUCUGUUAAGCAUGAAGACGUUUAUAUUCCCUUCCUUGCUCUCGUGAAUCUUUCCGAGAAAAAACCAGCGAGUCAGG